AAGUCGUAACAAGGUUUCCGUAGGUGAACCUGCGGAAGGAUCAUUACUGAGAACGGGUGCUUCGGCGCCCAACCUCCAACCCUUUGUCUACAUACCUCUGUUGCCUCGGCUCGAAGUGUUAUAGCUUUUACGGCUGUAACUGCGAGCCGGUGGCCUUUAACAAACCCUCUUAAACCAUGUCAUAUCUGAGAAUAAAUAUAAUAACUUAAAACUUUUAACAACGGAUCUCUUGGUUCUG
rnacentral:misc_RNA from 1 species